AAUUGCGCGUGCUCGCCGAGUCUACGAGUCCGUAGGCCGUCCCAUUCAGCAUUUUAACGCUCUGAAGUGUGCUCAGCAGCGCCCCUUUGUACCCUUGAAGCGGUCUUCCGCGAAUCUACCCAAUCUAAAGAAAAUCUAAAUGCAACUUAUGCAAACACAAGACCUGAGUUCAAUAUAAUUGUUUCCAGGUUUUUUCUCACACUCAUAAUUACAGCAAUCUACCCAGGAAUCCUUGCGAAAUCCUUGUGAAACUGUGGUCUCUUUUUUUCUGUUUCUACUCUCCCAACUUAUGUAAGGACUUGUUUAUUUCCUGGAAAAUGAAAGUAUCGCAUCCAGCAAGAGCUUUGUGAAACUGAAACUCACGGUGAAACUGAAACUCACGGUGAAAUUGUCGGUGGUCCUGCAAGAGCCUGAGAAGUAGCCAAGAACGAACCUCUGAUACAUUUGCUGAAAUCACUUUAAAACACAUUUUUAUUUCCUCCAAACAGAGUUCUAGCUUUCAUUUGACCACUGGACAAAGAUCAAGUUGGAUCAUUCUGAAAAAUUUUUGGUCUGCCGGAGAAACCCAUCCUCCUUCUCAAUGGAAACGUCAUUCUGUUACCCCAGUUUUCUACCUGACACAGAAAGCAUAAUGUCUGUGAUGCAUGAACUGAAGGAAAAGAACUUAACAGACAACACCCUUCUCUCCAACUUGGAAUUUGCUGAGAGAUUCAUUAGAGACCAUCCUCUAAAACCGUACUCCAAAUUGCUAGUCAAAGGAAAUUACUUUUGUGUACAAAUUGGUCAGAAUCCCUCGCAAGUUUUUACUGUAACAUCAGAAAACAACCAAACCUAUGUCAAUGUCUUUAUAGGCAACCAGUGUGGUGAAAAAAUCAAAACGUCUUUAAUUGAGGCCAGGCACUUUUUCAACCACUCCUGCCAGGAUGAGAUUAAAUCCUGUUUUACACAGGCACAAGAAGCUGUUACUAAAGAGGUUCUGAUAAGAUUGCACAUCAAAUGCAACAGGUUCUCAGUCACAUAUGCCACUCAAUUUAGUGGUCCAUGUGCAACUGUGGAAACGAAAUGUCAGUUAAAGCUAGAGAACCUCACUGCUGAGGGUUUACUGAACAAAAAAGUCUGGCUGCAGAAAGAGAAGCCCACAUGUCAUGGUUUGAUAGCAUGUCUAGACCAUCUCAUAAAGCAAUACCUGACCACAAGCAGUACUAUAUGCCACUCCUAUAGAUUUCUCAUACAUGCAGACAAAGAAAUGAUCAGAAUCACUUCAUGUGUAGAAAAAGAAAGAGAAUGUGUAUUAAUACAUGAUCAUGAAGGGGUCUCAAUGUUUCCUCCAACAUUGCAGUAAAAGUUAUGACCGCACUCCAGAAAACUGCAACAUAGUCUGUUGAAAUAUCUUCAUAUGCAUUUUUAAAGACUAAAGAUUAAAUGAAAUCAUUAUAUUCACGUAUUCACAUAAAUUCAUUACGUAAAAAAUUACUUUACUUUAAAAUAUUACUUGAGAAAUAAAUCAUACAAUGGCAUUACUUGGAGUACAAUACAGUAUAUGUAAUGUUUUUUUGUUGUUAUUGUUGUUUUUGUGGCAAGCAGAUGUUUUUUAUAGAUUUACAUUUGCAUGAUUAACUUCAUCUGUGUUCACUGACAAAAAUGGUAGAUUCUGUGUUGACAUUCUUUAACAUCCUAAAAAUAGACAAUAUGUAAAUAACUUCAUUCUUUGUUAUUUGUAGUUCUUUAUUCUGCAUGUAUUUUGCCUUGGAUUUUAUGAAUUAAAGUGAUAACAGUCAGCUCAUCGGAUACUACUGUAUAUAUCAAUGUACAACAAACAGAGAAUUUCAAGCAUAAUAAAACUGCCUAAAACAUUUAA